UUUCAUGUCAAACCGUGUAUUCUAACUGCUGGCAAAGCAGGUUUAAAUAAUGUAUCUUCUGUCUGUCUAUGAAAAGACAAUGAACACCCAAUAGCGAGUUUUAGGUAGGGAGAAAAAGUUAACACCCAAGGGGGAAUCAUUAAAUUGACCAGACACACAAAAAACAAAUGAGAUUAGUAGUCAGACAGCCUGAAUAUUUGCAAGAUUUUGCAGACACCUGAUUCACCCCUUCCCUCUGAAUACUAUCAGCUUACCAAACUAGAGAAUACAGUAUUUUAAACUCACCUUAGCAUUUCAUUGAAUCUGACUGUAGCAGCACAAUGAAAUAUAAUAUUAAUGCAGUCUAUAAGUUUUUGUUGGAUUGGGCUACUAUGGUCCAGUUCAGGCUGUGUAAGUUCGCUUGUAAUUACUAUUAUUUUUUCUUUGAAGUCAGGCUGCUCCUCUCUCAACCUGUCAAAGAGCUUACAGGUGGUUAUUUCCUGUAUUUG